rnacentral:rRNA from 1 species
GUCCACGCCUAACGAUGUCAACUGGUUGUUGGACGGCUUGCUGUUCAGUAACGAAGCUAACGCGUGAAGUUGACCGCCUGGGAGUACGGCCGCAAGGUUGAACUCAAAGGAAUUGACGGGACCCGCACAAGCGGUGGAUGAUGUGGUUUAAUUCGAUGCAACGCGAAACCUUACCUACCCUUGACAUGUCUGGAAUUUUGCAGAGAUGUGAAAGUGCUCGAAAGAGAACCAGAACACAGGUGCUGCAUGGCCGUCGU